rnacentral:rRNA from 3 species
UGGUGUGAGCCAUUAAGCUAACUUGUACUAAUUACCCGUGAGGCUUAACCAUACAACGCCAAACGCGUUU